GCCGAAGUGGUGGAAUUGGCAGACGCGCUGGACUCAAAAUCCUGUGGUAGCAAUACCGUACGGGUUCGACCCCCGUCUUCGGCA
rnacentral:tRNA from 1 species